UGGCGACUAGGGAACAGCAGAAUGAGGCAGACAGAGCCAGGACCCCAGAACUCUAUUCUUUCGCAGUGGAACAGGCUUCUUACUGGGAGGAGGAUCGCAAGUUGGUCCUGCGGGGCUGGUGUCUUGUCUUCAGUGUCACGGCCACUCUGAUGCUGUUCACUGUGUUGGAUGGGCGUUUGGUCUACCUGCAGGGCCCCUACAUUGGCUACCUGGGCUUCUGGACUGACUGCAGGAAGCACAAGUGUGCCAGCCUGGGCCAAGUCACUGAGUCUCUGAAAUCUUAAGGAGAGAUGGCAAGAGACAAACACCCUCUGAGAAGCUGGAUCCGGCAAUACCUGAACCCGCAACAAUUUUUGCCUCCAUGCUUUUUCCACAACAUGAAACCAGCUUGAAUUUGAGAGUUCUCAUCCACAUGAGCAUGGGCUUCAUGAUGCUGGCCCUGAUCCUGUGUCUCAUCCUCCUCCUGGCCAUGAGCCUCUCCUUCCGGCAGGUGUUCCAACGCCUGAACAAGACCGACCUGGUCUUCAGUUCCCUCUGCUUCAGCAUUGGUAAGUGCCGCCCCGGGGCAGGGGCCCCCUCCUAGGCCAGCAUCUCUCCCUGGGGCUCUCUUUCUGGCCUCCGGAGGUGUAUCUCAGAUGGUCUCUCCUGCUGGGUCUCUGGGUCUCUUGGGAUUCCUGCCUCCCUGUCGCAGUGUGUUUCUCGGCUCUACCACAUCGUUUCCGUCGGGGUGAGGGGCGCUGGGGCUCUCGCACUCUCUUCCUGUGUCUCUCUCUUUCCACCCGCUCCUGGUAUCUUUCUGUGCGUGUUCUGUGUGCUUGGAGGGUGGGAGAGGCAGUCUGUCUCCUCUCUUCUUUUCCGAGGGGCUCGGGGUCCCUGUCUAGCCUCGUGUCCAUCUCUGGCUCCCCCCCAGCGCAGGGCUCCUGAUUGUCCUCAGCCUGACGCUCUUUGUAGUCAACUGCGAGACGCUGAGGCCAAAGGCACAGGUAUCUUACCUGGUGACCACCUACCUGUGCUGGGGCGCCGGCGCCUUGAUGCUGUGGGCCGGAACCCUGAGCUACUUAAACUACGUGGGCAUGUGGGGCAAAGCGACCCCCUUGAUGGAGCGGCGGCUGAGCUAUCGCCGGUGGGCCUUGCAGCAGAGCACCCAGAAGUCCACGCCCAAAUAGCAGCAGUCAGACUCAUAUUCCAAGCGCACCGAGGACGCGCCCAAUUCUCUUCUCUCCCAAGCACCCCCCUCUGAGCCUCUCUAAGCAAUUGCACCCGAGCUUCGCAGGACACAGACACGUAACUGCGGCCGGGUGCCGGGCCCACCCCUUCCAUCUAGGCCAAGGGUGCGAGAUGACCCACUCCCUCCGAGAGCAAGUGACAGAGCCCCACCCCUUAAACGAGAGCCCACCCUUUGCAGCUCUGUCGCGCCCACGGGGCUCCCUCGUCCCCCACCCCGGAAGUCCCACACCGCCCCCUCGCGUUCAGCCCCACCCCCGAGCCAAGCUAGGCCCCGCCCCCUGGCGUCCAGCCCUCGCAGGCCACGGCCCGAAGCCGCUCUCCAUCAUCGGAAUUCCUCCCCCUCCGAGGGGCAGCACGGCCCCAGGAUGUCCAGUCUUGGCCCCAGGCCGACACGACACUGCCCAUCAUUUGAUGUAGCCCCGCUCCAAGGCAGAACAGGCCCCUCCCAGGGAGGCGUGGCUUGCAAUAACAUCCCCGCCCCUUCCUGGUUUACCCGCUGCAAUAAAACGUGGGCCUAGCCUCU
rnacentral:lncRNA from 9 species